rnacentral:rRNA from 1 species
UUGCUUUACUUAUUAUUUUUAAUUUUAAUAAUAUAAAUUUGUGUUUUUUUUUAAGUAUAAUAUUUAAUUUACCUUUUGCAUAAUGGUUAAUCAAUUAUAUUUUAUGUUUAUAAUUUCUCGAAAUAAAAAGAUCUAAUAAAUAUAUAUUAAUUUAAUGUAGCAUAAUUAAAUCUUUGAAAUUUUUAUUAGUGAUGAAAUGUCCACAAUUUUUAUGAUAUCUAGAUUUAAUAUAAAUAUAUAUAGUAUAAGUUAAUUACUCAAUUAAAAAGUUAUAAGAUUUUUUAAUUUUAUUAUUUUUGAAUUUAUAAUAAAGAAAUGGUAUUAACUUGUUUUUCUAAUAUUAUACAAAAUAAAAUUUCUACAUAAUAAUUUUAUUAUAUUAUUAUUUUUAUAAAUUAAUAUAAAAAUAUUUAAUGAUUAAAUUAGUAUAAUUUAAUUUAAAAAUAUAUUAAUGAACUCGUCUUAAUUUAAUCAACUGUUUAACAAAAACAUAGCCUAAAGUAUUUAUUUUAGGUAAUUUCUGCUCAAUGUUAUUUUAAAUGGCCGCAGUACUUUGACUGUGCUAAGGUAGCAUAAUCAAUUGUUCUUUAAUUGGGGACUAGAAUGAAUGAAUUUUUGGUUAAAUUCUUUAUUUUUAUAUUUUAUUAAAAUUUAUUUAUUAGGUGAAAAUACCUAAAAAUAUUUAUUAGACGAGAAGACCCCAGGAAUUUGUUUUAUUUUUUUUUUAUUGGGGCGAUAUUUAAACAAAUAAACUUUAAUUAUUAUAAUUUAACGAAAUAUUUUAAUUAAAAAUAAAUUACCCUGGGGAUAACAGCAUAAUUUUUAUAAAAGAUUGUGACCUCGAUGUUGGACUAGAAAGAAACUUUACUUAAAGAGUAAUUUUUUGUGUUCUGUUCGAACAAUAUAAAAUUUUUCUACAUGAUCUGAGUUCAGACCGGCGUAAGCCAGGUCAGUUUCUAUCUAUUUUUGUUUAUUUAGUAGUACGAAAGGACCCUAUUUAAUUUUUUAAAAAA